UUCGGCCCGCUAUAUUGUAGAAGAAGAAGGGGGCCUUGUUUCGUACGAAAGAAAUGGCUUCGAUCUCGUUUCGUCGAUCAUUCUCGGUCUCUCGUCGCUCAGUCUUGGUCUCGCUCUAAAUCAUCAGCUCGUUUUCCGUUCCGCAACGUAUCGGCCUUUGGAAGAACCCUUAAUGGAGGCCGGCGAGGCAGGUUUCGUACGCCUUGGCUUAAGAGGUUCUCCCAUCGAGAUCGGACUCGGAGCUCUGUUUGUGCUUUUGGUUGUCUUCGAUUUCCUGAGUUUCAUAGGCCGCGUUUUUUGGCAGACCGUUCUAUAUGAUGCAAGUUAUAUAAACCAAAGAGUGGCGGUGCUAACACUCGUUGCUGCCAUCGUAUUCACCCGCACAACGUCCUUAGGCCCCUCCAGAAAGGCAAAAUACUACCUCGCUAUCGGUAUUGUUCUAUAUAUGGCUUCGGAGUUUCAAGAGAUUUUAUGGCUCAAUGUACUACCUGGA
rnacentral:rRNA from 1 species